rnacentral:rRNA from 1 species
GAUGAACGCUGGCGGCGUGCCUAAUACAUGCAAGUCGAGCGAACGGACGAGAAGCUUGCUUCUCUGAUGUUAGCGGCGGACGGGUGAGUAACACGUGGAUAACCUACCUAUAAGACUGGGAUAACUUCGGGAAACCGUAGCUAAUACCGGAUAAUAUUUUGAACCGCAUGGAUCAAAAGUGAAAGACGGUCUUGCUGUCACUUAUAGAUGGAUCCGCGCUGCAUUAGCUAGUUGGUAAGGUAACGGCCUACCAAGGCAACGAUGCAUAGCCGAGCUGAGAGGGUGAUCCGCCACACUGGAACUGAGGCACGGUCCAGACUCCUACGGGAGGCAGCAGUAGGGAAUCUUGCACAAUGGGCGAAAGCCUGAUCGAGCCAUCCCGCGUGGGUGAAGAAGGCCUUCGGGUUGUAAAACUCUGUUAUUAGGGAAGAACAUAUGUGUAAGUAACUGUGCACAUCUUGACGGUACCUAAUCAGAAAGCCACGGCUAACUACGUG